rnacentral:misc_RNA from 1 species
CGGUUACUGCUCUUCUCGUGCAACGGGUCAAUUCCGGUGGCCUUAAGCAAAUCCGAGGGAGCUGGCUCUGGUCGGGUCCUGGCCCGUCUACCUGGCGCCCACCUGUAUAUACAGGUCCUCGGGAAUUCUCACCCGCACGGUCGCUGCGGUUUCCGC